rnacentral:piRNA from 1 species
GGCUAGCAGAAAAAGCAUAGUAGACAAG